UUGGCAGAAUAUAAAAAGGAAAUAGGAAAGGCAUAUUGCAGGAUCUCUUUUUUUAUAUGCCUUGAAAAAGACUUUAGAAGAGUGGAUGUUAGCUCAGAAUCAGACUCAGAUUAUGAAAUUUUUGUUACAAGUAGGAGCACAAUUGAAUUCAAUCAGGCUGACACUGUGAGAUGCAUCCAGACAUUCAUCAACGAUUCAAGCUGGACAGAUAGUAAUAUCUGAUACUGAGGAUACUCUGGAUCUACCUGAAUACAAUGUGACUAAGUUCACUUA